CGGGGCGUAGCGCAGUCUGGUAGCGCACUUGACUGGGGGUCAAGUGGUCGGAGGUUCAAAUCCUCUCGUCCCGACCA
rnacentral:tRNA from 2 species